UAAGGCCUUCGGGUCGUAAAACUCUGUCCUCAAGGAAGAUAAUGACGGUACUUGAGGAGGAAGCCCCGGCUAACUACGUGCCAGCAGCCGCGGUAAUACGUAGGGGGCUAGCGUUAUCCGGAUUUACUGGGCGUAAAGGGUGCGUAGGCGGUCUUUCAAGUCAGGAGUGAAAGGCUACGGCUCAACCGUAGUAAGCUCUUGAAACUGGGAGACUUGAGUGCAGGAGAGGAGAGUGGAAUUCCUAGUGUAGCGGUGAAAUGCGUAGAUAUUAGGAGGAACACCAGUUGCGAAGGCGGCUCUCUGGACUGUAACUGACGCUGAGGCACGAAAGCGUGGGGAGCAAACAGGAUUAGAUACCCUGGUAGUCCACGCUGUAAACGAUGAGUACUAGGUGUCGGGGGUUACCCCCUUCG
rnacentral:rRNA from 1 species